rnacentral:rRNA from 1 species
GACGAACGCUGGCGGCGUGCUUAACACCUGCAAGUCGCACGAGUGGCGAACGGGUGAGUAAUACGUGAGUAACCUGCCCUCUCUUUGGGAUAAGCCUUGGAACCGGGGUCUAAUAACGGAUAAAGGGGGAUGGGCUCGCGGCCUAUCCGCUUGUUGGUGGGGUGAUGGCCUACCAAGGCGGUGACGGGUAGCCGGCCUGAGCGGGUGACGGGCCACAUUGGGACGGGGAUACGGCCCAGAAACCGACGGGAGUGAGCAGGGGGGGAUAUGGCACAAGGGGCGAAAGCAUGAUGGAGCGACGCUGCGUGGGGGAGGAAGGCGUUAGGGUUGUAAACCUAUUUCGAGAUCGAAGGGGUGGGUGGAGAAGAAGCGCCGGCUGACUACGUGCAAGCAGCCGCGGUAAUAC